ensembl:snoRNA small nucleolar RNA SNORA49
CCUCCCCAUCUAACACCGGGAUCUCCCAAUGUUAGUGCAGAAUUCCCGGUUCAACAUGGGGACAAAAUAUAUUGCUUUCUCUUCCCUCCUUGGUGGAUUUUAUUCCUUCCAGGGCUUUGCGAGAAGCAGACAUA